rnacentral:tRNA from 1 species
GGCCUCGUAGCUCAAGUGGCUAGAGCGUUGGCUGUACUAGAGCCUUACCCUUGAUGGCGUGGGUUCGAAUCUCACCGAGGUCA